rnacentral:rRNA from 1 species
GCCGUUUUAGUCGUGGGGUGACUUUCUGUUAAUGCGAUAACGAGCGAGACCUUACUCUGCUAAUAGCCAGGCUAGCUUUGGCUGGUCGCCGGCUUCUUAGAGAGACUAUCAACUCAAGUUGAUGGAAGUUUGAGGCAAUAACAGGUCUGUGAUGCCCUUAGAUGUUCUGGGCCGCACGCGCGCUACACUGACAGAGCCAACGAGUUCUUUUCCUUGUUCGAAAGAAUUGGGUAAUCUUGUUAAACUCUGUCGUGCUGGGGAUAAAGCAUUGCAAUUAUUGCUUUUCAACGAGGAAUGCCUAGUAAGCGCGUGUCAUCAGCAUGCGUUGAUUACGUCCCUGACCUUUGUUCACUCCG